AACGAACGUUGGCGGCGUGGAUUAGGCAUGCAAGUCGAACGAAUCUCAGCUUGGUAGCAAUAUCGAGUUGGGGGAAGUGGCGAAAGGGGCAGUAAGGCGUGGCUAACCUACCCCGGGGACGGGGAUAGCCUUCCUAACGGAAGGAUAAUACCCGGCGAUGUGACCGAGGGACAUCCCUUGGGCACGAAACGAAUUUCGCCUCGGGAGGGGGUCACGUGGUAUUAGCUUGUUGGUGGGGUAACGGCUCACCAAGGCCAAGAUGCCUAGCGGGUGUGAGAGCACGACCCGCGCCACUGGCACUGAGACACUGGCCAGACUCCUACGGGAGGCUGCAGUCGAGGAUCUUCGGCAAUGGGCGCAAGCCUGACCGAGCGACGCCGCGUGUGCGAUGAAGGCCUUCGGGUUGUAAAGCACUGUCGAGGGGGAGGAAGGUCCGCAAGGGCUUGACCUAUCCCUGGAGGAAGCACGGGCUAAGUUCGUGC
rnacentral:rRNA from 1 species